rnacentral:tRNA from 1 species
GGGCCCGUAGUGUUAGCGGUAGCACUCCGCUCUUGACAGGCGGUUGUGCGGGUUCGAUUCCCGCCGGGUCCA